GAUGAACGCUGGCGGCGUGCCUAAUACAUGCCAGUCGAGCGAACGGACGAGAAGCUUGCUUCUCUGAUGUUAGCGGCGGACGGGUGAGUAACACGUGGAUAACCUACCUAUAAGACUGGGAUAACUUCGGGAAACCGGAGCUAAUACCGGAUAAUAUUUUGAACCGCAUGGUUCAAAAGUGAAAGACGGUCUUGCUGUCACUUAUAGAUGGAUCCGCGCUGCAUUAGCUAGUUGGUAAGGUAACGGCUUACCAAGGCAACGAUGCAUAGCCGACCUGAGAGGGUGAUCGGCCACACUGGAACUGAGACACGGUCCAGACUUCUACGGGAGGCAGCAGUAGGGAAUCUUCCGCAAUGGGCGAAAGCCUGACGGAGCAACGCCGCGUGAGUGAUGAAGGUCUUCGGAUCGUAAAACUCUGUUAUUAGGGAAGAACAUAUGUGUAAGUAACUGUGCACAUCUUGACGGUACCUAAUCAGAAAGCCACGGCUAACUACGUG
rnacentral:rRNA from 1 species